CGGAGGGUGGUGGCAAAAAAUUUCCAGCAUUUCUCCUUGCUGCUGCAAAACAAGCCUGUGGAAGAAGGGUCCCUUCGUGUACCGCAACAACAGCGGCGGUCGCACCAUGAAAUGCCGCUAAGUGAGGCUCUUAUCAUAAGUCAAAUUUUCAAUUCCCCUUUUUAUGUUAUAACCAGUAAUUGAUUCCCCCUAAAAUUGCAGAAACCCGCAAAGUGAGCCUAGUAGCGUGCGAAAGCCAUACCGUCGAACCUUGCUGCUGAUCCAUCCUCCUCUCCCUUGCGUCGAGCUUUUGCCUCCCAUCCACAAUUCCUGAAACCCAUACCCCCUUAUCCACGGUCUGCAAAAUCCCUAACUCUGCUCCACCCUACGCCUCUGUGUGGGUUGUCGAGUCGCGCAGCUGCCAUCCGUGCUUUUCUCACCAGCGUCGAAGUUUCCCAUCUCCUCGAUCAUGCGUGACACUGUUACACCCUCCUCCGCCGUGCGCCGAUCUGAGCUAUCGUGGCCUCUCUCCUGUCACUGAUUGAUUUGAAACUGAAAGUGUGUAGAGGCUCUUCAACGAAGAAGGUUGUGGUGCAGGAAGCGACAUUGUUUGGUGUCAAGACUGUGAUUCUCGAAAAUUCAACGACGUAGCAUACAAUCCGGUCGUCGGUCUCGGUUGCUAAGUACCGCACAAAGAAAUUGCCAAAGUGUGUCUCUGUUUUCGCUGUUGAUAAGAAUUGCAAAAUUGCGGG